UGGGCAACAAAAGCAAGACUCCAUCUCAAAAAAAAAAAAGAAAAAAGUGGCCAUGCUCCUGCUGUCUCCCACUCUCAACACAGGCCCCUCGAGGGCAGGGCCAGGCUUACCCAGCCUGUACUCAUGGUGAAGAGAAUUAUCAGGCUUACCAACUAGACAUGUGCUAGGUGACAAGCAGAGAUUCCAAGAGGCCUCUCUCGGCCCCCUUCUCAUCCCCCAGAACCGCCAAACUGCUAGUGACAUUCCUGCUUCAUCAUUAACAUAAGUCAGAAAGAGUCAAUGCUGACCACCACCCCCACCAAAAUCUCUAUAGGAAGUGAAGGCAUAUUUAGCUGCCACCGCCCAGGCUUAUUCAGAUUUCCCACCGUGCCGCAGGAUGACACUGGGUUACAACCAUCCCACACGAGGAGAGUGACAUGUCCCAACUUGCUUCUGGCCCAUGUUUUACAAGAAGCUUGUCCGGCAGGCAAAAUAGCCCUCAACACAGGAACACCUGUUGCAGCACCUGUCAGUAGCGUCUGGCACCCUGGCAGCUGACGUCUCAGUGCAGCCGGCAAGGACACUCUGGGAAGAGGACGCAGUGGCCUUAUGAGUGAACGACGGAGAAGCCGGAGGGAGGAGGCCUGGCCUGUCUGCCUUGGAAGCUAAUGAUGCCCAUUGUUUCUAUACCCACCGCCCAGGCAGCUGUCCAUCUGCCGAUGCUCCUAACAGUUCGCCCUCAGAAGACCACGAGGAAGCCUGGGGUGCCUGGCCAUUCAGAGGUCCUCAGUACACGGACAUCCCUUGGUAUCCUCAGAGAAUUGGUUCCAAGACCUCCUGCAAAGACCAAAAUCCACAGAUGCUCAAGUCUUUUAUAUCAAACGGUGUAGUAUUUGCGUGUAUCCUAUGCACAUUCUCUAGUAUACUUUAAAUCAUCCCUAAAUUAUUCCUAAUACCUAAUACAAUGU
rnacentral:lncRNA from 1 species